UGGGGAAUAUUGCACAAUGGGCGCAAGCCUGAUGCAGCCAUGCCGCGUGUAUGAAGAAGGCCUUCGGGUUGUAAAGUACUUUCAGCGAGGAGGAAGGCGUUGUGGUUAAUAACCGCAGCGAUUGACGUUACUCGCAGAAGAAGCACCGGCUAACUCCGUGCCAGCAGCCGCGGUAAUACGGAGGGUGCAAGCGUUAAUCGGAAUUACUGGGUGUAAAGCGCACGCAGGAGGUCUGUCAAGUCGGAUGUGAAAUCCCCGGGCUCAACCUGGGAACUGCAUCCGAAACUGGCAGGCUAGAGUCUUGUAGAGGGGGGUAGAAUUCCAGGUGUAGCGGUGAAAUGCGUAGAGAUCUGGAGGAAUACCGGUGGCGAAGGCGGCCCCCUGGACAAAGACUGACGCUCAGGUGCGAAAGCGUGGGGAGCAAACA
rnacentral:rRNA from 1 species